UUUCAUGUAUAGAAAUUUAUAUUAUACUUCAAUUUUCGCGCCGUUAAAAUAACUAGGAAACUACUUCAACCAAUCAAAAAAUUGCUAAAGAACUCCAACAAAGCAAAUCAGUAUACAUCAUAGUGCGCAUGUCAUCAGUCUAGUAGUUGAAAAGCAUUGUGACAGAUAGAUGUUUCAUUUUACCGAUAUUUCUCAGCUUUCAUGAUUUUUGACAGGACUGAUUAAAUGCAAAUUCUUCGCAUCUAAUGAUUGGCUAUAUUUUUUUCACUUAGAUUAUGGAAGUAUGUUCCUGAUUACUAAUUGUAACUAAAAAACUGCACAAAAGUGGUUGUAUUGCGAUAGUCUCUGUAAUUUUCCGCUAUUAGUAUUGCGUAUAACGAAAUGUGAGUGGUAAAAUUUCGUAAAUAAGACAUUUUACUGAAUAUAUGUUUUUGCAAUUUUUUUAUCUUCUUUUUUUUGAUGUCAUUUUUAUGUAUUAAUAUUGCAAAAAUCAUUUAUAAUUUUUUUUAGGUUUACAUUAAGUGAAUAAUUAUUUUA